UACGGAGGGUGCAAGCGUUAAUCGGAAUUACUGGGCGUAAAGCGUGCGCAGGCGGUUUUGUAAGUCUGUCGUGAAAGCCCCGGGCUUAACCUGGGAAUUGCGAUGGAGACUGCAAGGCUUGAAUCUGGCAGAGGGGGGUAGAAUUCCACGUGUAGCAGUGAAAUGCGUAGAGAUGUGGAGGAACACCGAUGGCGAAGGCAGCCCCCUGGGUCAAGAUUGACGCUCAUGCACGAAAGCGUGGGGAGCGAUCCGG
rnacentral:rRNA from 1 species